ACCCACGGGCCCGAGGUCGCUCUCCACGGUGUGCGGAUUCGCCCCAACCUCCUCCCCGGCCCAGACUUUUCCCAAGGAUAUGCCAGAGCUCCCGUCUUCACAACCAGGGGAGGAAUUUCUGGCUGGUAGCCCCAGCCCCUCUCCCCAGGUCACAUGUGGGAGACGCCUUGACUUUCUCCUUUUCAUCUCUCACAUCAAGUUUGUCACCAAGGCGGGAAAUGAAACUAUUCAUUGGAAGGGUGGUUUAAGAAGUGCUUGGAGGGAACAAAGAAGGAGGAAUCAUGUUCUGUUUAGGACGGAUCCAGGAA